rnacentral:rRNA from 1 species
GAUGAACGCUGGCGGCGUGCCUAAUACAUGCAAGUCGAGCGAACAGACGAGGAUCUUGCUCCUCUGACGUUAGCGGCAGACGUGAGAGUAACACGUGGAUAACCUACCUAUAAUACUGGUAUAACUUCGGGAAACCGGAGCUAAUACCGGAUAAUAUAUUGAACCGCAGGGUGGAAUAGUGAAAUACGGUGGUUCGGGCACGUAUAGAGGGAUCCGCGCCUCAUUAGCUAGUUGGGAAGGUAACGGGUUACGAAGGCAACGAUGCGUAGCCGACCUGAGAGGGUGAUAGGCCACACUGGAACUGAGACACGGUCCAGACUCCUACGGUAGGCAGCAGUAGGGAAUCUUCCGCAAUGGGCGAAAGCCUGACGGAGCAACGCCGCGUGAGUGAUGAAGGUCUUCGGAUCGUAAAACUCUGUUAUUAGGGAAGAACAAAUGUGUAAGUAACUAUGCACGUCUUGACGGUACCUAAUCAGAAAGCCACGGCUAACUACGUG